UGGCAAACUGACCGAAAGGUCGGGACGCAAAGCCUCCGGUCUACAGACGUUUUGUCCAGGAUAGCGGGGUUGCCAC
rnacentral:ncRNA from 3 species